CACGUUGUGCAGAAUCCUGAGCACUCAGCACCUCAGAUUUGUCCAAUUGUGAAUGAAACUGCCCAAUGACCAGUGUUAAAUAUUUAAUUUCAAUGUUAACAAGACUUCUCUACACAAUGCAAUAACAUUGAAUCCUUAUUUUGGCCACUAUAAUAUAACAUGUGUAAAGUGAAAACUGUUUGUAAACUGCAUCUUUAUUUAAGGAUAAGCCUUUCUAAGCAUGUAUCUAUUCAAAAUCUGGUUGGCUGAUGAACAGAGUUGGUGAACAGAGUUCAAACUGGAAGACACCUGUGACUGGAUAUGGAUUGAUUUAGCUUUUCAGACUUGCUAAGAAUGCAGCAUGCUGGAAUUAUUGCAGAAUUCUGCUUUUACGUCUCCUCAGUGCGAAAAGUUGACGUCCCUGCAAACAACAUAUGUUCAUCCCACCAUUCAAAGAACAUUCCUUCAUCUCGGUCAUCUCCCUCCUCCAAGUCAAUUACCAGCUCCUCAGGAGGUUAGCUCUGAUUCAUUGUGCUCACAUUAAUGUCUAAUGUGGAGCCUUAUCAAAUGUCUGCUGAUACACCAUAUAAACUAGUUCCUGAUCGACUAAUGGUCAUGAGUUUCUGAAAACGUAUUAGUUUGAUACCUUCCAAAUGGCACAACCCAAGGCAGACAGUCUAAUGGGGUCAAUCUAUAUCCUCUAUGGUAUUUCAAUAGUUUUUUUCCCCAGUUUGAUAAACUGGCAGUUAUUCAGUUACUUGUUUCCUCCCUCUCAGUCUUGGUGAAAAAACAUUUGCAGUUUUGCAAUCCCAUUAGCACAAUUCCCGAAUCUGCUGUAAAAUUAUGAUUAACACCUGUAAUUUCUGUUUAAUACCCUCAGCUGAAAACUGUUGGAUCCUGGAGAUGUGUUAAAGUUCUAUUAUCAUCUCCAUUACUUUUUAAGCUAAUAAAUCAAUGGGAGUAAUUGAGUAGAUCUAUUUUUAAGCUGGUAUUUUGUCAUCUUCACUUGUGAAAACAGAUACAACGUAUUCCCUUUGACAAGUUUGCCAUUUCUUUGCUUUAUUACUGUCGCCUGCAGCCUCACUUUAUGGCUCCAUAUUAACAUCCUGUCUCUUUGUAAAAUUGUUUUCUGUUUGCUUUGACAACCUUUGCAAAAAGAAACACACUUUUUAUUGCCUCAAUCUGUUUCUUGCUCUCCCUAUUGCUGAAUUUCCAUUUAUCUCUGCAACCCUGCACUCUUAUCUUGAUAUUCUGUUUGAUUGCUAUGAUUGUUAAUCUGCACAAUGCACCCUUUGUGUGAGGAACACAUGCCAGUUUUGUAAUGUACCAAAUAUCCCUCUCAAUAAAUCUGACCAUUAGGUUUC